AGCUCCAGAUACAUGAUAGCAGCAUCGAGGUGAGCAGUGGCAAAGGUUCCCACCUGAACAUAUCGAGCUGUGACACCAGUACGGCCACAAUCUCCAAUACUACUAUGACUGAUGGCUGUCCUCCACCCGAGGAGAAAAACUACAUUCAGAGGUUACAGAAUGGGAAUGGGUGGCAUGGUUAGUGAUCACUAGGCCAUGAAUCUCAUGGAUCCCAUGAUACAGGUAUCUGGUCCAGAUCCGACGGAGCCAAGCAAAAUCAUGCUGCUGCUUCUUCUUUCGAUUGAAAAUCCAGGUGAAACCUUUCAAGAACUCACGACGACACGCAAUGAUUAUAUUUCAUUGUGAUGGCCGCUGCCGACACAGCUACUAUGGGUACACGCAACUUCUAUUUCGCUCGUCACCGGAAACCACCGCCCAGAUCCAUCUCUUCUCAACCAUGCCGACGUGGUGGUCAGGGGCGCUUACAACUUGUGAGGACCUGCGUUCUCGCUGUUGAUCCGUGAUGGCAUGGCCUCCCCGCGCCCUAGCCGUGUUCUAGCUGAUGGUUUGGGUCUGCCAACAGAGGGAGAGGGGGACGACCUCUGUCGCUCCUUCUUUCUAGCCUCUUCAUCUUGAUGAAGCCGUAGGAGUAGAGGGGCACACGCCUGAUGGAUCUGCUCCAAGCACCUCAAGCCACGCAUCUUCAAGAUGGUGUACCCAAAUGCCAACCAAGCCUCACAUACUUGCCGAAUGGUAUGAAUGUAAAUGCACUUUGUGAUGGUUCCACCGGGCUUCGCACAAACUGAUGAUACUUUCUGUGCUACGUCUAUUCCAAGCAAGAACACCACUACCACUGCUGUAAAUUCUUCUGACCCGGAGCAACGACAUCUCAUUCAAGGCGAGAAAUUGUACCCGCUGGCUGAACAGCUUGAGUCAUUAUCAGGUGGGAAGGUGACAGGGAUGCUGGGUGAAGCAAUGGAAGCUCCGCAGAGAAGCAAAGUUGAAGAGGCCAGCGAUACUGUUGACAUUGCAUCCGUAUCAUCAUCCUUGACCUUGAGUGCACCCCACUUCGGCACCAUCGUGCUCGAGUGCUCCCGGCGACGCUGCUAACCAUGCUUCCGCAUCGUUUUCCUCAAGUGCUUGAACGCUGAUUCCUAACAUCUCUAUCAACCUGGAAUUUAGAUGGCUGGACAAUGUUUAAGAAGAUUCCUGAUUUGAUAAUACUUCAUGAUA